rnacentral:tRNA from 1 species
GCGGAGGUUGCCAAGCCUGGUCAAAGGCGCAGGGUUUAGGAUCUUGUAGAAGUUCGAGGGUUCGAAUCCCUCCCUCCGCACCA